rnacentral:lncRNA from 1 species
GUCCUCUGAGAAUUUAUUACUACGGAUCACAGCAGCAACGGGCGGGAAGGGCGGCGCCAGACUCAUUUGCCCCGCAGGUAGAUCUUGGGGGUCUGCCAGCCUUCGGGGGCUUCCUUUAGCCCCGCCUUCAGCCAGAUGCGCCUCAGGUCUUUCUCGAACUUGAUCUGCUUGCGUCUCAGGCGUCCCUCCUGGACCUUCCUCCGCAGGAACCGCGUCUUCUUCACCAGCUUCCGGUACUUGUGGUGGUUCAUCUUCCGCCGGCGGAUCUUCAGCACGUUUUUGCACUGAAUUUGAGGCGCAUCCGCGACGCCUUCAUCCCCCUGCUCGGCCCCUUCCCCUAUCUGGCUGGGCGGACACUGGUAGGAUUGCGGUGGAGCCACAGUCCCUGCGGUCCCGGUAUCCAGUCUGGGCAGGAAGCAGCGGGCCGUGAGCCAGCUCUCCAGGGGGCUGACGGACAUCUUCCUGGGGACCAGCAUCUCCUCCAGCUCCAGCUGGGCCCCCUUGCGAGGGAGAGAGGCCGCC